AAAAGCUCUGCAAAUGUUUUCAGUUUCAUAAAGGUUUUCGCAAAUAUUAGACAAAAAUGUAAAAAAUCCCCAUUGAAACGGUGUAACGGUGGAUGUGCAUUCACAACUAACAAAAAUGUCAUUAUGAAAAGAAAAGAGUUCUGAAGAAAAUUGCGAGAACACCUAACUUAGAUUCCAUUGAGGGCUUUUAGGCUAUAAAUAUUAACAAGUGAAACAAAUCUUUAUACAGUGAAAAUAAUAAAUUUCCAUCAAACAAAAAUGCCUUAUGUUCUUGAAAGAAGCUAAUUUACCAAGAUAAAAUUUUGUGUAAAAUUUAUAAUAAAUAAACAACAUAACAAUGUAAUACCUACAAAUCUACAAAAAAACACAAAAUGUGUAAACCUUACAAAUUCAUGAAAUGGAAGCAUUAUAGCCUCACAAUAAAUGCUUAAAGAGAGCAAAAAAAUUAUCAAAAAUCAAAGAAGUGUAAUAGAAAAUGUUUCGUGGGCUAUUAACGCCAAAAGCAGCUGCAAUUAUGCAUCAACUGAAAAUUAAAUCUAAAAAUGAUAAAAGUUAUAUAAGAAUUCUUUUUAAGAAAAUGUAAAAAA
rnacentral:sRNA from 1 species